rnacentral:rRNA from 1 species
UACGUAGGGUCCGAGCGUUGUCCGGAAUUACUGGGCGUAAAGAGCUCGUAGGUGGUUUGUCGCGUUGUUCGUGAAAACUCACAGCUUAACUGUGGGCGUGCGGGCGAUACGGGCAGACUUGAGUACUGCAGGGGAGACUGGAAUUCCUGGUGUAGCGGUGGAAUGCGUAGAUAUCGGGAGGACCCCCAGGGGCGAAGGCGGUUGCCUGGAGCUUUGCUGACGCUGAGGCGCGAAAGCGUGGGAGCGAUCCGG